CCCAAUCAACUUUGUAACCCAAUCACAAUAACUAUUCUGCAUGCCCCCCCCCCUCCCUCUUGGGUCUCAGAGCCUGUUUCCUGACCAGCAGCAGUUACAGCUCUAACUAAAGAAGAGCACUUGGGACCAGAGGCUGGGCUUGAAGGCAGGUUCCCCCUGAGACACAGACAUUGUGAGAGUGGGAAUGAAUCUGCACUGCCUUCUGCUGUAACACUUGACACUUAAUUGUACCUGUGCAUUUAUAUGGAUUGCAUGGCUUUGCCUUGACUCUCUAGAUGAAAAAUAGUGGAAAUGAAGAGGUGUGCAUCUCUUGGGCAUCCACUGAGUGCUUAACUGAGUAACUCGGCUUCAAAGGAGACUGAAAUAUCCAGGUGGCUCUUCGACCCUUCAGCGACACUAGUGAAUUUUCAACUCUCAGUCUUUCUGUCACCAUUGGAUGUCUACGCUGGGAUUUGAAGUUCAAUCUCAGAACUGUUCCCCUUGCUGUAUACUGAGGAGGAUGUUGUCACACAGGAUAUGCUAGCUGAGUUGAGAAUCAGAGUAUUCAUCUUAGUCUGGGGUACCAGGUCAGCGAGAAAAGCCGGCCAACAACAACAAAAAAGCAGGCGCUUCAGAGAAACCUCUGUAUCUUCAUAGAGCUGUAAAUCUCACACUGCCUGAACCCCAUGGCCCCGCUAUGCUUCUAACACAGCACAAGGGAAGGAGCAAGUCAAACAGGACUCGGUGAAUCCAUUCCAGGGCUCCAAAGGGAUGAUUUGGAACUCCCCAGAUUUCCUGGCUCUUUAUUGUGAAUCAAGGAAGAGGGUAAAGGUGAAGGACACAGAAAAGAGUGAUGAGGCUGAAAGCCAUCUGUCACGGUUGGGAAAGGCACUGAGACUGUUCCUGCAAAUUCAGGUACAUUUUUUCUGGCAUCCCCAACAGGAAGGUUGGAAUAUGCCUGGGCAUCUUGGCAAGGGUCACGCUCUUCACUUUUCUCUAUACAGUCAAUUUUAAAGCAUCCAUCUAGAAGAAGAUCAGAAAGAUUGGAAAAUCCAGAUGACCAGGACAUCUGAGAUUGUGUCUUCUGUAUGUGACACAAAAGUUGCAUCCAUUAAAUCUCAACAAUACAGUUGCCUAAACAACCUGAAUAAUGACAAUACUGUGGAUUGGACAAAUCUCAGAAGGCCCUACCUUUAGAUGAAGAUCUACAAGCAAUUAAUGACAACUAAGAGAGAAUGGAAUAAUCUGUCACAGGGAUGAGUCCCCUAAUCAGUUACCAAUACAAAAUAACCAUCCCUAAAAUCAUAUGCACUUGAGCAACACUAAAUGGACUCAGUGGGUUGCAUUUAUAUAUUAGUUUGUUCAUAUAUGUAUAACAAUAAUAAAGAAAAGAGUAUGAAUUUGAGAGAGUAGGGGGUGUGGGAAGAAGUGGAAGAAGGGGGUCGGGGAAACGGUGUAAAUACAGUGCACACAUAUAAAAUCUUUUAAGAUGAGACACACAAAAAUACCCAUCUGAUUUUAAUUCCUUUCUCCCAGGUGUAUUCUCACCUUGUGUGCAUUUCUUAGGAGAUGCAGCUUGAGAGAGAGGAUGAAUCACAAUGUGCAAAUUCUGGAAAUGGGGGCCCAUGCUCCAACUUAUAGGUGUAUGUGUGCUGGAAGGAGAGUUCUCUUCACCAUGCUUUAGGGACUUAUCAGGAUGGUAGAGUAUGGCCUUAGACAAAGAGACACUUUGACCCUCUCAAUAGGUUCCCCAGUUCCUUCUUUAGGAAACAUUGGCAUGGUUACCCUUCCCCACUGGGCUUCUGUGUAUUCUGCACAACUGAGGAGGCUGCCAGAUUUCUGGGGGAGGGGGGCAGGGACUCUUACUAUUCUGAAUGCUAACAGAUUGAAUGCCUAGAUCCUCUUGCAUUCCCUACCUCCACAUUGUCUGUCUCCUUCCCAGGAGCCCCUGUGAGUCUACCUGAGUGUUUCUUGGACCAGAAGACCAUCUGUGUGCCCCACCUGCCACAACAGCCAGAUGGAAGUACCAAAAGAUUAUGCCUUCUUGGGGCAACCUUCAGUGUAUGAAGGGGAUGCCCAGUUGCCUGCCUCUUGGGUAGGACAGCAUGGAGGCUGUCUCUGUCAAUCUCGCAGAGGUCCCUAGUGGUACUGGAAAUUCCUCUCCCAUGGCAAUGAUUGAUCUAUCUACCUGUGACACGUUGCCUUUCAUUCAUUGCCCAUCUCACUUCCCAUUCCCUUCUCGGGGUUCCUUGCAUCACCUUGCAAAUGCAUGGCAUGCACUUAGAGUCUUUGUUGUCAUCUGCUCUUAGCAAUAGCUCCUAAAUCACCAAGAGCUUGUAUAAAUGCAGACAACAAGCUAUGUCUAUCUAGUCCCUCUUUAAAGACACAGUCUGAGAAGAAUGGCAAAAAAAGGUUGUAAUAAUUUGUAAUAGUUUCACAUCUAGCAUAUGGAUUUGUUGAGGAGACAAAUCCAGCAUUCCCAAGUUUCUAUCUCUGAUCAGCCUUUUCAUGUUCUUCAUUACUGGCCCCAGAACAUGCCUGCUUCCUCUUAUUCCUCUUGACUUUAAGUCACGUUCAGCAGGAACUUUGCUACCUGUGAUCCUGACCAUCCUCUGUAAUUUCACAUCUGUGGACCAUGUGAACCUGAUAGUUUCUGGCUUUCUAGACAAAUUCCUGAGCUGUUGCACACAGCUAGAGAGUUCUGGAGACAGGAUGUACUGAGCAUGGGAAUGAGGAGGACCCAUGAUUCAUAUAUUCACCAGCUGGCUUCCUAAGACUAGACAGAAAGUAGGUAGGUGGGUGGAGAUAAAUGAUUUAGAAAUAAAUCUGUAAAUUCAGAGGGGCCAGUGGCCAUCAUCUCAAAGCUCUGUGGAGGGUGAAAAUCAAGUAUAUCAGAGGACAAACUGGACUGGACACAUGCUGUUCCUUGAGAGUACCUACUCAAUACCACAUACUUAGACAUCGUGGACUUCGAGAUGGCAGAAGUGAGGAUUUUAAGCACUGACAUCCAUCUUUGCACCAAAGAGGCAACAAGUAAGGGACUGUGGGCUACCUUUGAGUUUAAGGAAGCCAUUUCCUUUUCCUCCAUGGCUUAGUGGUAUCAAAUAUACCAAACAGAAUCAAAAUGAGGGAAUAAGAUGCAUGAAAAUGCAUGUGCCUUAUUUAAAUAAUUGAAUACUGACUAUAAAUGAGUGAAAUAACAUAACUCCCUAUGACUCUGGGCUUCUCAUCUGAGACUCUCAAAUCCCAGAACAAACUUUAAUUAGCCCAGGAUCAGGAUUCCUUCGGGUUUUAGGUAAAUCUUGUUUUCUUCAUUUAUAUAAUGAGAUGUGCAGUAGUUGACUGGCAUGGCCAAGGGCAAGCAUCAUGUAAAUAUAUGUAAAUAUAUAUAAAUCAUGUAUAUCUGACCACAAACCCAUUAUUUCAAAGGAUCAUCUAAGAUGAAUGAUUUUUAACCUACGUGAUCAUGAAUGUGGUGUGUGCACGUGUGCGCACACAUACAUGUUCUUGUGUAUGUGUACAUGUGCACAUGUAUCUGGAGUGACUGAGCAUCAUUCACCUUGAAUUUGGAGACAAGGUCUCUCAUUGGCCUAGAACUCAGUGAGUAGGCCAGGCUGGCUGGCCAGAGAUCUUCAGGAAUCCACUUAGGUCUUCCUCCCCAGGGCUGGGAUACAUGUGCCUCUGCAUCCAUCUUGUUUUCUUGCAUUCUGGGGAUGGAGCUUGCUUAGAUACCCAUGCUUGCACAGCAGGCAUUUGACCUGCUGAGCUAUCUUCUAGGCCAUGAAUUUGUCUUGAUAGAAGGACAUGAGAGAGUUUCCGAAAAGACCUCACUCCAUGAUUGAGAUCUAAAUUACUCAUUGACUAAGGGUGAGUUUUUGGUGAAAUUUCAAAUUUGGUUAGCCCCAAAUGAAAACAUAAAUAAAAAGCCAUCUUUAGAAACUUAUUAUUGAUAAUAUAGGAGAAAUAAAAUCAUUAACAAUAAGCCAAAGGGUCUGCCAUCUUUUAAUCAUCAUGGCAACUGCCUGCCGUGUUCACUAAGUGGGGCUGGAAUUUCAUCUAAGUACACUGGGCAGGGCCUGGGUCAGCAUCUACUUUGAAAACAGAUGCUGUGUGCUCAUGCCAGUGUAUCAAGAUAACAUAGCAGCUUCAUUAU